GGGGUUGUGGUUCAGUGGUAGAGUGCUUGCCUAGCAUGCAUGAGGCACUGGGUUCAAUCCUCAGCACCA
rnacentral:tRNA from 1 species